rnacentral:rRNA from 1 species
UACGUAGGGUGCAAGCGUUUGUCCGGAAUUAUUGGGCGUAAAGAGCUCGUAGGCGGUUCGUCGCGUCGGCUGUGAAAUCCCGAGGCUCAACCUCGGGUCUGCAGUCGAUACGGGCGGACUGGAGUUCGGGCAGGGGAGACUGGAAUUCCUGGUGUAGCGGUGAAAUGCGCAGAUAUCAGGAGGAACACCGGUGGCGAAGGCGGGUCUCUGGGCCGAUACUGACGCUGGAGGAGCGAAAGCGUGGGGAGCGAACAGG